UCAGCCCAAUUCCAAUACAAAGAAACCCCAAAAUACUAAGCCCAUUCCCUUUUCAAAAUAUAGAACAAAACCGACCCAACCGACCCCUAUACGUUUCAUUCUUCUUCUUCUUCUUCCAGCAGGAAACAAACCCAGAAGCAGUCCAGCAGCAGCAUAGUCAGUCCAGAUUCUCGACUCGAAUUGCGAGACUAAACCCAGAAAAGCAGGCAGCCGCGUGUCGCCAUCUCCUUGAAUGUUCGUCAUUGCUCAAAAUUUUGCGGUUCUCAUUGAUUUACCGUUUGAAUUUGUACUAUUGGACAACUUUCAAACUUAUCCUUUAAGAGGCUUUUGAAUUUCAAAUUGGAAGGGAUCCAAAAAAAAAUCUACAUGUUUUUCCCCCUCCCGAAAUCUGCCCGGGUACUCAUCUAAAUAGACAAUUUUCUUUGUUGUUAAACGGGGGGAGGGGUUUAAAAAAAAAUUCAGGAAAAAAUUUAUUUAGGAAAAAAAUCACACAGCAAAAAGAAUUGUAGCAUAUAGUAAAAAUACAUUUUAAAAGAGAGGAAGAAGAGUUAGUUUUAAUCCGAGUAUUACUCUUCUAGCUUGAUCACCGAUGUUUGCCUAAGCUAGUCCGAUUUUGAGUUUUUAUUUCUAUUCGGUUCGUGUGGUGGAUGGUUCGUCUCACUCGUGGCUAUCUCAGUCCGCUGCUUCGAGAAAGAUCCACAAAGGCUCAAGUUUCUUCCAUUGAAGAGCAAUUCCCUAAAAAUCGACGCACAGGUCCCGAAGCGGAAGAAGUUGAAGAGAUUGGGCCUUAAAAGACCAAAUUCAUUCGAAAGAUUGUAUUUUGGGCAUAUGCCCUUGUAGUUUCUUUUUUUUAUUUACUAUUGUAUGUUUAGUCUACGAUAAGUACAAAAAACAAAUGGGUCAAAAACCCAAAGACAGGUGGGUCCAAAUACCGGUCAAGGCGAACAGAAAACCCGGAUUUCGACCCAAAUCUAUCUCCCUCUCUUUCUUUACUUGCUUUUUAUUAA